AAAGCAUAUGGAUUCUUGAGCG
rnacentral:miRNA from 12 species